rnacentral:rRNA from 1 species
UACGGAGGAUCCAAGCGUUAUCCGGAGUGACUGGGCGUAAAGAGUUGCGUAGGUGGUUAUGUAAGUGAAUAGUGAAACCUGGUGGCUCAACCAUACAGACUAUUAUUCAAACUGCAUAACUCGAGAAUGGUAGAGGUAGCUGGAAUUUCUAGUGUAGGAGUGAAAUCCGUAGAUAUUAGAAGGAACACCAAUGGCGUAGGCAGGCUACUGGACCAUUUCUGACACUAAGGCACGAAAGCGUGGGGAGCGAACCGG